rfam:Polysphondylium pallidum PN500 unplaced genomic scaffold PPL_scaffold10, whole genome shotgun sequence.
CAAAAGGUGUUUAUUAACACCAUCCUACUUCAAAGAUUAAACUUUAU